UUCAAAUGUCCAUACCGAGUUAUCCAACCUUAAUACAGUGGAUAAAGAGAAACAGCGGGUGCAGGUAAGAGCCUUUCAUUACUUUUGAGAUUCCGAGCCGGCGUCCUCAUGCAGAUCCACGCCAUUACGCUCUUCAUUUACUGUACUCAUUGGGCACAAAUUUGGUUCAAGAAACUAGAAGAAGUCAACAGAGCUUUCCUCUAUACCGCACAAUCAACUGCAAGCCAAGAGUGAUCUCGGAUUCAACAAUUCAGAGGUGUCCGAUCUGUAAGUCUUCUGAAGAUCAUCCCAGUUAAUCCAAUAUCUCCCUCCAUCUUGAAAACAUCGUGUCGACCUAAAAACUGUUGUUAAACCAGCUGCAAGUCCAGCUAUGUGCAGUAAUUUAAGUGUUAAAACUGCUAAUCUACCACCCAGAAUCAGCUUCCGCCAAUGAAGAUGCCAAAUCUCAGCUGAUCGUACAAAAAAUCAUCCUCCGAUUCACCCAAAAUCUUCAGCAAUUGUUUUGAGU
rnacentral:lncRNA from 1 species